UGGGGAAUUUUGGACAAUGGGCGCAAGCCUGAACCAGCCAUCCCGCGUGCAGGAAGACGGCCCUAUGGGUUGUAAACUGCUUUUCCAGGGGGAGAAACUUGCGCACGUGUUGCGCAAUUGACGGUACCCUGGGAAUAAGCAUCGGCUAACUCCGUGCCAGCAGCCGCGGUAAUACGGAGGAUGCGAGCGUUAUCCGGAUUCAUUGGGUUUAAAGGGUGCGUAGGCGGACUAUUAAGUCAGUGGUGAAAUCCUGCAGCUUAACUGCAGAACUGCCAUUGAUACUGUUAGCCUUGAGUUUGGUUAAGGUAGGCGGAAUGUGUAAUGUAGCGGUGAAAUGCUUAGAUAUUACACAGAACACCAAUUGCGUAGGCAGCUUACUGAGCCGACACUGACGCUGAGGCACGAAAGCGUGGGGAUCGAACA
rnacentral:rRNA from 1 species